GUACACUCCUACGGGAGGCAGCAGUGGGGAAUUUUGGACAAUGGGCGAAAGCCUGAUCCAGCAAUGCCGCGUGAGUGAAGAAGGCCUUCGGGUUGUAAAGCUCUUUUGUCAGGGAAGAAACGGUGAGAGCUAAUAUCUUUUGCUAAUGACGGUACCUGAAGAAUAAGCACCGGCUAACUACGUGCCAGCAGCCGCGGUAAUACGUAGGGUGCAAGCGUUAAUCGGAAUUACUGGGCGUAAAGCGUGCGCAGGCGGUUUUGUAAGUCUGAUGUGAAAUCCCCGGGCUCAACCUGGGAAUUGCAUUGGAGACUGCAAGGCUAGAAUCUGGCAGAGGGGGGUAGAAUUCCACGUGUAGCAGUGAAAUGCGUAGAUAUGUGGAGGAACACCGAUGGCGAAGGCAGCCCCCUGGGUCAAGAUUGACGCUCAUGCACGAAAGCGUGGGGAGCAAACAGGAUUAGAUACCCGGGUAGUCCCAUGA
rnacentral:rRNA from 1 species